UACGUAGGUGGCAAGCGUUGUCCGGAUUUACUGGGCGUAAAGCGCGCGCAGGCGGACUGAUCAGUCUGGGGUGAAAUCUCCCGGCUCAACUGGGAGCGGUCCCUGGAUACUGUCAGUCUUGAGAGACCUAGAGGAGAGCGGAAUUCCCGGUGUAGCGGUGAAAUGCGCAGAUAUCGGGAAGAACACCUAUGGCGAAGGCAGCUCUCUGGGACGGUACUGACGCUGAGACGCGAAAGCGUGGGGAGCGAACAGG
rnacentral:rRNA from 1 species